UAGAAAUACUAGUAAUAGUAGGGGCGGAUGUAGCCAAGUGGAUCAAGGCAGGGGAUUU
rnacentral:tRNA from 1 species